UACCUUGAGGACUAGUGGUUAGGCCACAGUGCACUCACUGCUGCAGCCUGGGUUCAAUCCCUGGCCAGGGAA